rnacentral:rRNA from 1 species
UCCUGGCUCAGGACGAACGCUGGCGGCGUGCUUAACACAUGCAAGUCGAACGAUGACGGAGGAGCUUGCUCCUCCUGAUUAGUGGCGAACGGGUGAGUAAUACGUGAGCAAUGUGCCCUUGACUCUGGGAUAAGCGCUGGAAACGGCGUCUAAUACCGGAUACGACGAUCGGAGGCAUCUCCUGGUCGUGGAAAGAACUUCGGUCAAGGAUCAGCUCACGGCCUAUCAGUUAGUUGGUGAGGUAAUGGCUCACCAAGACGACGACGGGUAGCCGGCCUGAGAGGGUGACCGGCCACACUGGGACUGAGACACGGCCCAGACUCCUACGGGAGGCAGCAGUGGGGAAUAUUGCACAAUGGGCGCAAGCCUGAUGCAGCAACGCCGCGUGAGGGACGAAGGCCUUCGGGUUGUAAACCUCUUUUAGCAGGGAAGAAGCGAAAGUGACGGUACCUGCAGAAAAAGCACCGGCUAACUACGUGCCAGCAGCCGCGGUAAUACGUAGGGUGCAAGCGUUGUCCGGAAUUAUUGGGCGUAAAGAGCUCGUAGGCGGUUUGUCACGUCUGCUGUGAAAACCCGAGGCUCAACCUCGGGCUUGCAGUGGGUACGGGCAGACUAGAGUGCGGUAGGGGAGAUUGGAAUUCCUGGUGUAGCGGUGGAAUGCGCAGAUAUCAGGAGGAACACCGAUGGCGAAGGCAGAUCUCUGGGCCGUAACUGACGCUGAGGAGCGAAAGCAUGGGGAGCAAACAGGCUUAG